GUUUUCUCUGUGAUUUACUUACUUGCUCUAUGUCGAGUAAUAUGACCUACCACUUUCUUCCUCUGAAAUACUGAUCACACUGCCUUCUCUGUUGAGCUACUGUAAAAGGGAAAAUGGGACUGUAAACCCAUUCCUAGGUUAUAGGCAAACCUAUAAAUCUAGUAAGUUAUGUAGACAGUCUCCAAAGAUGGGCUCUCUGGGAAGUGUCAGAGGAUAUCAAAAGCUGAGCAGAAAGAUAGAAGGAAUUUAAUUGUUGGUCAGUGAUAGUGGGACCAUUGUUGUGUGGUAGAGGGUUGUCUUUUUGUCCAGCUAUCCUUAGGUCUCAUUUUUUUCCUUCAGCCUAUGCAUCAUCAAUGACAAGCUCUUUUUGAGUGCCAGCCCCCAAAAGAUGGAACAUACUUGCUCCAUCUCCAUGCCACUUCCCUCAGACUCUGAGAUGGCGAUCGCCCAGGAGCAGCAAACAACGAUGCAGGCAUUCUCCACCAAGUCUGAGAUGAAAUUUCAGUGGUCUCAGAAGGACUUUCAGGACAACUGCUUGGACUACAAUAGAGCUGUACAAACUCUGUCGCUUCCCAAGGCAAAUGGAAAGAUCUGAGAAACCUUCACAUAGACUGGUCCACAAAUCCUGAGUAUAACGCUUUGAGAAGAAACCCUUGGCUGUUACCACCUUCAUCCUCAUUAUCUUUGUUGUAUUUUUGUUCUAGUAUGAGUACUUUGGUGUUAUUGAGCUGGGAAGUUAUUGAGCUUUGUAGUUUUGAUUCUCAUUCAUCCAAAGGGCUAGCUGUUCUGUGGGUUUGUUCCUGGGUUACCCCUCUCCACCUUGUUUGACAGACAGUAAUGGUGCUUACUACAGUAAAUCUCCGCAAAGUCUGUUUGAGGCAGGUAUUAUGAUCUCUGUCUUGAGAACAGGAAGGGGAUACUCAGUGACUAACUUUUGGGAAGGAGUGGAGUAGAGACGCAUGUCUUGGACUCAUAUUUAGGCCAGAGC